rnacentral:tRNA from 1 species
GGUGCCGUCGUCUAGCGGCCAGGACGCUGUGUUGUCAGCGCAGAAAACGGGAGUUCGAAUCUCCUCGGCACCGCCA